rnacentral:rRNA from 1 species
AUGCAUGCAUUCCAUUAUCGCGGAAAUAUUCCCCCAAGGCACACCCUAAAUAUGGGGCCAGAAAUUGCAGAGGAGCAGGAUCCGAAGUGGUGGCUUCUACAAGAAUGGAAUAUUCGAAAGCAUUCGCUUCUGAAAGAAUUUGAACUAAUUGUGCCACAGUCAAGCGUUUUUGUCCAAUCGCAACAGACACAAUACAAUGUAUCACUCUCAUUUGUUCCCCUUGAGUUCAUUUGCUUUUGGUUUAAUAUAGUAUCGAUAGCUAUUGUAGUUUUUCCAGUUUGUUUGUCCCCGGUUAUAAGUUCUCGUUGA